rnacentral:rRNA from 1 species
CGUUCCCGGGUCUUGUACACACCGCCCGUCACACCAUGGGAGUGGGUUUCACCAGAAGUAGGUAGCCUAACCGUAAGGGGGGCGCUUACCACGGUGGGAUUCAUGACUGGGGUG